UACGGGGGGGGUAAGCGUUGUUCGGAAUUACUGGGCGUAAAGGGCUCGUAGGCGGCCAACUAAGUCAGACGUGAAAUCCCUCAGCUUAACUGGGGAACUGCGUGUGAUACUGGAUGGCUUGGAUGUGGGAGAGGGAUGCGGAAUUCCAGGUGUAGCGGUGAAAUGCGUAGAUAUCUGGAGGAACACCGGUGGCGAAGGCGGCAUCCUGGACCAUUAUUGACGCUGAGGAGCGAAAGCUAGGGGAGCAAACGGG
rnacentral:rRNA from 1 species